rnacentral:rRNA from 1 species
CAGCACCGCAAGUGGUCAGGAUGAUUAUUGGGCCUAAAGCAGCCGUAGCCGGCGCUGUAAGUUUUCGGUUAAAUCUGUACGCUCAACGUACAGGCUGCCGGGAAUACUGCAGCGCUAGGGAGUGGGAGAGGUAGACGGUACUCGGUAGGAAGGGGUAAAAUCCUUUGAUCUAUUGAUGACCACCUGUGGCGAAGGCGGUCUACCAGAACACGUCCGACGGUGAGGGAUGAAAGCUGGGGGAGCAAACCGGAUUAGAUCCCCGAGUAGUCC